rnacentral:rRNA from 1 species
ACAGGUGGUGCAUGGUUGUCGUCAGCUCGUGUCGUGAGAUGUUGGUUAAGUCCCGCAACGAGCGCAACCCCUAUUGUUAGUUGCCAUCAUUCAGUUGGGCACUCUAGCGAGACUGCCGGUAAUAAACCGGACGGAAGGUGGGGAUGACGUCAAAUCAUCAUGCCCCUUAUGACCUGGGCUACACACGUGCUACAAUGGUCGGUACAACGAGUUGCGAGUCGGUGACGGCGAGCUAAUCUCUUAAAGCCAAUCUCAGUUCGGAUUGUAGGCUGCAACUCGCCUACAUGAAGUCGGAAUCGCUAGUAAUCGCGGAUCAGCACGCCGCGGUGAAUACGUUCCCGGGCCUU